AUUGAACGCUGGCGGCAGGCUUAACACAUGCAAGUCGAGCGGGGUGAUGGUGCUUGCACUAUCACUUAGCGGCGGACGGGUGAGUAAUGCUUAGGAAUCUGCCUAUUAGUGGGGGACAACAUCUCGCAAGGGAUGCUAAUACCGCAUACGUCCUACGGGAGAAAGCAGGGGAUCACUUGUGACCUUGCGCUAAUAGAUGAGCCUAAGUCGGAUUAGCUAGUUGGUGGGGUAAAGGCCUACCAAGGCGACGAUCUGUAGCGGGUCGGAGAGGAUGAUCCGCCAAACUGGGACUGAGACACGGCCCAGAAUCCUACGGGAGGCAGCAGUGGGGAAUAUUGGACAAUUGGGGGAACCCUGAUCCAGCCAUGCCGCGUGUGUGAAGAAGGCCUUAUGGUUGUAAAGCACUUUAAGCGAGGAGGAGGCUCUUUUGGUUAAUACCCAAGAUGAGUGGACGUUACUCGCAGAAUAAGCACCGGCUAACUCUGUGCCAGCAGCCGCAGUAA
rnacentral:rRNA from 1 species